UACGUAGGUGGCAAGCGUUUGUCCGGAUUUACUGGGCGUAAAGAGCGCGCAGGCGGUCGUUCAAGUCGCGUGUGAAAGCCCCCGGCUCAACUGGGGAGGGUCACGCGAUACUGAUCGACUCGAAGGCAGGAGAGGGUAGUGGAAUUCCCCGGUGUAGUGGUGAAAUGCGUAGAUAUCGGGAGGAACACCAGUGGCGAAGGCGACUACCUGGCCUGUUUCUUGACGCUGAGGCGCGAAAGCUAGGGGAGCAAACGGG
rnacentral:rRNA from 1 species